rnacentral:misc_RNA from 1 species
AACGGGGCCAGGAGGCCAACAAUGUGCCAAAGAUUUUAAGAGGCUUUUCUGUCUCCCAAGAAAACCAAACUAACCUGACCUAUGCCAAAAAUAUUUGUCGCUCGAGAUUGUAAGUUCAUCAAUUUUCUGUUGUACUUUCCUAAGAAGGCUUCCAGAGGAGGAGUGUGAAAGAUACAAACUUAUCACAAAUGAACCUGCAUAUCAAUCAAAU